GAUGAACGCUAGCUACAGGCUUAACACAUGCAAGUCGCGGGGCAUCAUGGCAUGUAGCAAUACAUGCUGAUGGCGACCGGCGGAUGGGUGAGUAACGCGUAUCCAACCUGGCCCUAUCUCGGGUACAGCCCCUCGAAAGAGGGAUUAAUUCCCGAUGUUCCCUGGGAUCCGCAUGUUUUCCAGGGCAAAGGCAUUUGUCGGAUAGGGAUGGGGAUGCGUUCCAUUAGGCAGUCGGCGGGGUAACGGCCCACCGAGCCGACGAUGGAUAGGGGUUCUGAGAGGAAGGCCCCCCACACUGGGACUGAGACACGGCCCAAACUCCUACGGGAGGCAGCAGUGAGGAAUAUUGGUCAAUGGCGGUAACGCUGAACCAGCCAAGUAGCGUGAGGGAUUACGGCCCUAUGGGUUUUAAACCUCUUUUGUUAGGGAGCAACCGGUGGCACUUGUGCCAUUCUGCGAGUACCUUUCGAAUAAGCAUCGGCUAACUCCGUGCCAGCAGCCGCGGUAAUACGGAGGAUGCGAGCGUUAUCCGGAUUUAUUGGGUUUAAAGGGAGCGCGGACGGGUGAUUAAGUCAGCUGUUAAAUUUCGGGGCCCAACCCCGUUAUGCGGUUGAUACUGGUUAUCUUGAGUGCGGCAUGGGCAGGCGGAAUUCACGGUGUAGCGGUGAAAUGCUUAGAUAUCGUGAAGAACUCCGAUCGCGAAGGCAGCUUGCCGGACCGUUACUGACGUUUAGGCUCGAAAGUGCGGGUAUCAAACA
rnacentral:rRNA from 1 species